rnacentral:lncRNA from 1 species
CUGUCCUUUAUUUCAGCCAGAAGUGGAACAGGGUUGCUCCUAGUGCCCAAGAGCAACAGUGUUUGUGGUUAAACACGUUGGUGUGGACUAACUUCUCUGAAGACCAUUGGCUCCCUGGGAAGGCAACCGGAACAAAAGUGAAUGUGAUAUCAUGACUGGCCUGUUCAUAGGGCACAGCCUGUCUCGAGGACUCCCCGGUAGCAAGGCGUCACCGAGAAAAAUCCAAAGCGAUGCCCUGAAAGGCCAAAUGGAGACCGUGGCUGUAAUCUCGGGAGGAAAAGAAAGAGCCCGCGAGCUGGGAAGAAAUGCCACUAUGUCUAGAUCCGGCCAGCCAUUCCUGUUGCAAAAGGAAGAAGUCCCUUACUGUCGCCCCCUCCCCAACACACGCUGAAUUGGGAUCUUGUUGAGCUCAUGCUCCAGAGAAUUGUUUGGCGAGCCUUUGCUCAGCAGAGAUGUCUCCCUGUGAAUGACCGCAGAGGCUUCUGUGUGUCUGGGAUCUCUGGCUUUCUUUCAGGUGGGGGCAGCGGCAGGUUGCAGACUUCCUCUAUGGACCCCCCCCCCCCGCCUUGGAUGGUCUCAUGGAAUGAGCUUUAACACUGUCUGGUGCUCGUUUGAGCACUGGGCACUGCCUAGGAAGAUUACUUAAAGUGCCCUGAAAGUAUGUAGGAGAAUGUCCAAUUUAAGCUUACCCUAUGCCCAGGACCAGAGAGAGAGACAGAGGCAGAGACAGAGAGAGACACACACACAGAGGCAGAGAGGAGGAAAGAGAAAGGGACAGAGACAAAGACAGACGGAGAGAUAGACAGAGCCAGACACACAGAGAGAGGCAAAGAGAAAGAGAGAGACACAGAGACACAGAGACCGAGUGAGAGAGACAGAGAGACGGGGGUGGGGUGGGCAUAGCUGUGUAGUAGGCAAUACUAGGCUGACCACAGUUUGAAAUGACGGGGUAGCCUGUUGGAAACAGACGUGUUUUUCAGCCAUCACAUAAAGAAGGGAUCUGUGUAUCACCGAGCUUUCCCAGGAGAGAAAGCUGAUUUGUAGCCUCAGGAGCAAGAGCCCCCAGGUUUUAUUUAAACAAAAACAAGACUCCAUUCCUCCAGAUGGCUUUUUUUCAUUUGCCUCCCCUGAUGUUGCCUUAAAGCCACAGUAAACAAAGUUGAAUGUAAAUGGGUUUCGACAUUCUCCUCUGCACAUGCUCCGAGCUAGAAGAGAUCAGAAGAGGGGUUUUGACAUAUGGGGUUUGAAAGUGUCCAGAAGUGCUUCAUUGACACCAAAGCCAGCAUAUUCCUUGAGUCUAGUGGCAGGCAACAGACCAGAGGUAAAAUGCUUUUUCUCAAAAGCUGAUUGAUUGUCCAGUGCUAACUUUUAAGUCUCCCCCAGGGCAAAGAGGGCAACCCAGAGUCCUAGAGACUUGGAACCCUGGUCCUCGGGCCUUUUGCAUCUUCUGCACUUCACGGAUUGGCGCCUCUCUUUACUUUCAUCUCUUGCCAUCGGCUCCUUGGUGUCAGGCCUGGGUUUGGUGGUGACUGGGUGUUGUCAGCAUCCUUAGCCGGAUGAGGAAUCGAUUUCCUUUUCCCGGGUCUUUCCUGGGUGCGGGGCCAUUGGAGCCCCGUGCACGCCAUUUGGACACAGCAAGUUCAGUUCCCUUUUUGUUUGUCCCAAGGAUCUCACCCAAGUCUGGAUGAGAUUCCAAAUAGCUUGCCAGUAGCGAUUGAUCCCUAGUAGGAGUUUGCAGCAAUGAGCUAGCUUGUAUCUGUUAUAAAUCGAAGAGUCUGGGAUGGAUCCUGAAUAGGCACUGGCAACUUCUGCUCCAGAGGCCAUGUUCUAGGCAUUGGGAUGAUGGAGAAAGAAAUAAGGAACAUUCUUAGGAUGAGAGUGACGAGGGAAUACUGAAAGUUCAGCUUCCCUCGAUUGGAUGGGAUGUUUCCAAUUAGACACUUUGGUACAUUCCUUUGAAACCAUGAAACCCGUUUAAAGGUAAGUCCCCCCCCCCCCCCCCCGCCCCGUCCACCCGCCAUGGUUCCCUCCCCCCUUACACUAUCUCAAAGUGUAAACUGUAUUUUUAGCUCCCUCCAUUUUCCCCCUUAGAAAUAUGGUAUCUCACCAAAAGUAUUCUCAGGAACACAGCAGGAAGGAGGGCAGAGGGGACAGAGAUAUGAGGGAAGGGGAAAGGAAUAAAAUACACUUCAACCUAGAAUUCUCUCCCUGA